UUUUUUCAUUUAAAACGAAACCUAUCCGAACCGUCGCCAUACGGAGACGGUCAUUUCGGUACCCGAAUUGCAAUUAUUCAACUGACGCUAAUUAUUACCGUAAUACUGGUAGCGAUCCGAUUUCAACGAUAUCUGCAGGACAGAUUGAAUUAUAAAUUACUUACGUGUAUACACAUUAUAAAUUGAAAAUGUAUCGAUUGUUUAUUGUGUACAAUACGACGCAAUACUUCCACAUUCAAUAUCACCUUUUUGCGUGAAUGCGUCAUCGCCCUCGAAGGAUGCGACCGCACGUGCU